AAAUAGAACACUCAAAUAUCAGAGUAUUUACAAAUUAUACAUGCUCUAGAAUAUUUUUAUUAGUUUUUGUAAUAUUGUAUUUAUUAAUAAUUUAUUAUAUUAGAUUAGCGUAAUAUAGCUAAUCACAUUUAAUAAGCCCUCUGCAUAAAAUACAAUGGCUGCUGAAAAGGUGAUAAAUCUAAACGAGCCGAGAUGGGACCAAAGCACGUUUGGUGGUCGAGCGAAGCAUUUCAUUACUCUCACAAAUCCUUUGAACUGCCUGGCUACAGACUCUCAACUAGAUCACGCCAAAAGUAUCCUCGAUGAGUAUAAAAAAACUAAGAAGCUGCCCGCCGGUGUAGACGAAGAUAAACUAUGGGCUGCCAAAUAUCUAUACGACAGCGCGUUCCACCCCGACACUGGGGAGAAGAUGACCAGGAUCGGUCGCAUGUCUGCACAGGUGCCGAUGAACACAAUUGUCACUGGAUGCAUGAUAACAUUCUACAAGACAACUGCAGCUACAGUAUUCUGGCAGUGGACCAAUCAAACAUUUAACGCUAUUGUUAAUUAUACUAAUCGUUCUGGGGACGCGGUCAUCACCCCGAAGCAAUUAUUAGCAUCUUAUGUUGCGGCGUGCGGUGGUGCCUUAAGUACAGCCUUGUACCUCAAAAGUAAAGUAAAGUACAUGAACCCGAUGUACGCACGGUUGGUGCCCUUCGCGGCUGUCUGCAGCGCUAACUUUAUCAAUAUUCCCAUGAUGAGGAGCAAUGAAUUAUUGCACGGAACGCCCGUAUUUGCUCCGGAGGGGCAAAGAGUGGGGGAUUCCAAGAAAGCAGCUCGCAAGGGAAUCUUUCUUGUGUGCAUAUCCAGGGUGGCCAUGGCUCUUCCCGGCUUUACUUUCGUGCCAUUCAUCACGAAUAUUGCGGAAAAUAGAAACCUGUUUUGCCGGUACCCAAUGGCUGAUUUGCCAUUCCAAAUGGCGCUAGUGUGUCUCUGUUUCACGUUCGCUACACCACUGUGCUGCGCCUUGUUCGAUCAGAAGGCCACUAUGCACAUCAAUGAUAUUGAAAAGAACUUAAAGGAGGAGGCGCUUAAGAUCUCUCCCAAGACGGACACAGUUUACUUCAACAAGGGUCUGUAAGGUGCAGGUGCAAUGUUGAACCUUCCCAAUUGGGGUGGAUUCCCAGUGUACCUGUACUGCUCGUCAGUCGUGUUGGUACCCAUUUUUCUACGAACCCUAGCGGGAGUCGAGAGGAAAACGUGGAAUGCUUUUAUGCUAAGCGACUCAACCUUCAUAAAAAUACUCCUUAUAAUGCAAGUUCUCCAGUGUUUACAGAUUGCUUCUUUUUAAUAGUUUGCCUUUUAGAGGAAAUAUGAUAACUGAGCCGUGCAUAAAAAAUGAGGCAAUCACCUAAUGUCAACGUUUUGAUGACAUUCAAAUUGUGCAAUAGUUAUUGUUUCAUCGAAUUCUGAAUCGAAUUAUCGUUAUUUCACAAGAAACGUAGACGAGGAAUGAACUGUUUUUCUAUAUUAGCUAAAGAAGCUAAGACCGUGGAAGUGUUUUCCUGUGCGGUCAAAAAUACGCAUUGUUUUGUUCUUAGUCUGCAUAGACCGUCUUAAACAGUAAUCUUGAACGGUACUCAGGCUUUGAUCAUUUAAAUUGGUUGCACGUUUGCAUAGUCCCAAUUAUCCUUAUCUUUUACUUUUUACCUCGCGUUUUGUGGAAAUCUCUUUGUUAUCCAGGCCUGCUCGUCUUUACCUAGCCGGCCCUAGGUAGUGACAAAAAAUAGGAAUAUACCGUUCCAUGGAAAGGAGCUCUGGUCUUAGCACGCAUUAAGAAAAUUGGGGGCCUCCAUUUGUCGUAAGACACUAGGGUCAUGCUAAUAUUGCCCGAGGACAAGCGGGCUAUCCAAACGAAAUGAAAAUCUAUUUUCAUUCUUCAAAGAAUAGCUUUGCCAUUAAUGGUAGUGGAUUACAAUCGUCGGAAGUGGUUUUAUAGUCUUUGUAGUAUAAACAUCCAAGUGAAACAAGGGCUAAAUCUCGACCCUAAUGUCAAAUGAAAAUCCAUCUUCUUCUUUGCCAUUUAUGGAAGUGGAUUACAAUCGUUCUGGUUUAUAGUUUCUAGGUCCAUGAUUCAGCUAAGAACCUAUCCUGAUAGGCUGAUACACUUUUGCAUAUUGUUACCUACGUUAAGCCCUCUUUUUAACAACGCGAUGUUCCGUUGCAAUUGCAACGUAUGCCCGUUGUGUUAACAAACAUGGCUACACUUUAUUAUUGAAUACUGUGCGUUGGUCCCUCGCCUAUCAUAAAAAUCGGGCCGUUGUCCGUUCUCGUUAACUUCCCUUAAAACUAGAAUUUAAACUACAGAGGUAGAGGAAACAUACAGCCAAAUCAAAAUGAGAGCUCAGAAACUUUAUUUGACCAUAAUGACAAAUGAUAAUCCAUCUACUCUUUUUUGCCAUCAAUGGAAGUGGACAAAAAUGGAAGUGCUCUGGAAUACAGUUCUUACGUACCUAUAGUUCGGUUCAGAGUUCAUAAUUUUGUAAGUUUUAAUGUUUUUAAUUUUUAAACCCCGAAGCAAAAAGAUGGGUGGCGUAAGUUUGACGUGACUGCCUGUGGCGUCGUAGCUCCCGAAUGGAUGAAGCGAUUUCAAUAUAGCUUUAAAAGUAAUUUAUGUCCGAGUGCUCUGAAACAUGUUUGAUGAAAACAGGUUGAACCGUUGAAAAUUAUUGAGGUAAGGAUGAAAGUGGGGAAUCCGAAUGUCGGAAUAAAUACUCGAAUGGGGUAUCAAAAGAAAGGUCAUCGGUCACAGUUCCCCUGUUUCACUCCCUACAACUCUCAAACGGCUAUAUCAAUUUUCAUCAAACAUGUAUUAUAAGUCAAAUCUUCUUUGAUACAACAAAAACUGAAUUGAAAUAAUACUUGCUUAGCCCGUUCGGGAGCUGCUACGCCACAAACGGACACGUAAAGCCUAUACCGCCCCUCUUUUUGCUCCGGUGGUUAAAAAUAAUAAAAUAUGUCGCGUUGGGGGACCGUGAAAACAAAACAUGAUUAGGUGCGGUCUCCCAACGUGACGUAUAUUUUUUAAUUUUUUAAGGUAAGUUUAAGGUUUUUGUGUCGGGGGUUUUAAAUUUUUUAAUUUAUUUACAGUGUUAUUUACUUCAAUGUUUUCAAAAAAAAUGCUAAGAAUGGAUUUCACCAUUAGUCAAAUGAGGGAUUUGAGUUAUAACUAGAAUGGUGCAAUCCACCCUUAGUAGGUUCACCAGAUUGUUUUAAUUUAUGAAUAAAUUAUCACGAUUGAGUCG
rnacentral:misc_RNA from 1 species